rnacentral:rRNA from 1 species
AACCAGCACCUCAAGUGGUCAGGAUGAUUAUUGGGCCUAAAGCAUCCGUAGCCGGCUCUAUAAGUUUUCGGUUAAAUCUGUACGCUUAACGUACAGGCUGCCGGGAAUACUGUAGAGCUAGGGAGUGGGAGAGGUAGACGGUACUCGGUAGGAAGGGGUAAAAUCCUUUGAUCUAUUGAUGACCACCUGUGGCGAAGGCGGUCUACCAGAACACGUCCGACGGUGAGGGAUGAAAGCUGGGGGAGCAAACCGGAUUAGACACCCGGGUAGUCCCAGCUGUAAACCAUGCAAACUCAGUGAUGCAUUGGCUUGUGGCCAAUGCAGUGCUGCAGGGAAGCCGUUAAGUUUGCCGCCUGGGAAGUACGUACGCAAGUAUGAAACUUAAGGAAUUGGCGGGGAGCACCACAAGGGGUGAAGCCUGCGGUUC